rnacentral:rRNA from 1 species
AUUGAACGCUGGCGGCAUGCUUUACACAUGCAAGUCGAACGGUAACAGGCCUUCGGGUGCUGACGAGUGGCGAACGGGUGAGUAAUGCAUCGGAACGUACCCAGAGGUGGGGGAUAACGCAGCGAAAGCUGUGCUAAUACCGCAUGUGAUCUGAGGAUGAAAGCGGGGGACCGAGCAGCAAUGUUUGGCCUCGCGCCUUUGGAGCGGCCGAUGUCGGAUUAGCUAGUUGGUGGGGGAAAGGCCUACCAAGGCGACGAUCCGUAGCUGGUCUGAGAGGACGACCAGCCACACUGGGACUGAGACACGGCCCAGACUCCUACGGGAGGCAGCAGUGGGGAAUUUUGGACAAUGGGCGCAAGCCUGAUCCAGCAAUGCCGCGUGCGGGAAGAAGGCCUUCGGGUUGUAAACCGCUUUUGGCAGGAACGAAACGGUGUCCGCUAAUACCGGGCGCUAAUGACGGUACCUGCAGAAUAAGCACCGGCUAGCUACGUG